AGAUCCACCCGAUUCUUAAAAGAUGGAUGCUGGUCAUCAAGAGGUCGACCAUCCCGGUAAACGAAGACAUUUUUAUCUCCCAGCUGCUCCCUUCAGGCGUCACCACAGCGAGUCUUCUCCUCCUCCGCACCUGAUCCCGAGCAUCUUCAUCAGGGCUGAUUUGUGACAGAAGGACAGCAGCAAGAGUGAAAGGGAAGGUUUAAAGAUGGCAGUGAGCUGCUGUGAUGUUUGCUUUGGAGACUCUGACACAAAGACAGGAGGCCGAGCUGAACAUGUUCAGAUUUUCAUUGAGAGCAGAAUGGACGAGAUUAUGAACGAGUUGAUCAGAGGGAAGCUCAGGCUGAGAGGUUUGGAGACAAAGUUCAUGAGAAAGACUGAGAUGGAUGAAAAACAUCAUCUGAAACCAUUUUGUGAACAAAUAAAAACAAAUCUUUAGUUUUAGAAUCUGUUAGUUUGAUCAAAUGUUGUUGAUGGACGAGUUCAUUGAGACUCUGGAUGUCUGUCAGACUGAGUCUCUGCUUUUAUUGUAACAGCUGUACUGAUGCUCCUAAAUCUGGCCUCUGACACAAACCUCCAAACAGUAAGAAUGAAAAAAGAAUAAAACCAUUAAAAACUCUUCAAGCAAUAAAUAAUCAAACCUGAAAAAGAAGAAAAUCAUCUGGAAACUAAACUGAACUAAACACAAAAAGUCCAAAUGGAAUAAAAACUAAUGAGAAAAUCCAAAACUACAAUAACUCUGUUGCACAAACAACAACAUGUGCUGAUAAUAAGUGAACAUAAU